AAUGGCCGCAGUAAUUUGACUGUGCAAAGGUAGCAUAAUCAAUAGUUUUUUAAUUGAAAGCUUGUAUGAAAGGUUGGACGAAAUAAUAUCUGUCUUUAUUUAAUAAUUAUUAAAAUUUAAUUUUUAAGUUAAAAAGCUUAAAUAAUUAUAAAAGACGAGAAGACCCUAUAAAGCUUUAUAAAUUUUAAUUUAUAAAUAUUUUAGAUUUUUUAUUUUUAUAAUUUUAAAUUUAUUUUAUUGGGGUAAUAGAAAGAUUUAAUUAAUUCUUUUUUUAUAUUUUAUUUAUUUAUAUUUUAAUGAUCCAUUAUUAUUGAUUAUAAGAUUAAGUUACUUUAGGGAUAACAGCGUAAUUUUUUUAGAGAGUUCAUAUUGAUAAAAAAGUUUGCGACCUCGAUGUUGGAUUAAAGAUUAAUUUAGGUGCAAAAGUUUAAAUUUUUGGUCUGUUCGACCAUUAAAUCUUUACAUGAUCUGAGUUCAGACCGGUUUAAGCCAGGUCGGUUUCUAUCUUUAUUAUAUUAAAAUAUUUUAGUACGAAAGGACCAAAUAUUAAUUAUAUUAAUUAUGAUUUGAAUAAUAAU
rnacentral:rRNA from 1 species